rnacentral:tRNA from 4 species
CGGGCUGUAGCGCAGUUGGUAGCGCGUAUGCAUGGGGUGCAUGAGGUCGCAGGUUCGAGUCCUGUCAGCCCGACCA